UACGUAGGGAGCGAGCGUUAUCCGGAUUUAUUGGGUGUAAAGGGUGCGUAGACGGGUUAACAAGUUAGUUGUGAAAUCCCUCGGCUUAACUGAGGAACUGCAACUAAAACUGUUAAUCUUGAGUGCAGGAGAGGUAAGUGGAAUUCCUAGUGUAGCGGUGAAAUGCGUAGAUAUUAGGAGGAACACCAGUGGCGAAGGCGACUUACUGGACUGUAACUGACGUUGAGGCACGAAAGUGUGGGGAGCAAACAGGAUUAGAUACCCGUGUAGU
rnacentral:rRNA from 1 species